rnacentral:rRNA from 1 species
AAUUCGAUUAGAGUUUGAUCCUGGCUCAGAUUGCUAUCGCUGGCGGCAUGCCUUACGCAUGCAAGUCGAACGGCAGCACGGGAGCUUGCUCCUGGUGGCGAGUGGCGAACGGGUGAGUAAUACAUCGGAACGUACCCAGGAGUGGGGGAUAACGUAGCGAAAGUUACGCUAAUACCGCAUAUUCUGUGAGCAGGAAAGCGGGGGAUCGCAAGACCUCGCGCUCUUGGAGCGGCCGAUGUCGGAUUAGCUAGUUGGUGGGGUAAAAGCUCACCAAGGCGACGAUCCGUAGCAGGUCUGAGAGGAUGAUCUGCCACACUGGGACUGAGACACGGCCCAGACUCCUACGGGAGGCAGCAGUGGGGAAUUUUGGACAAUGGGGGCAACCCUGAUCCAGCCAUGCCGCGUGAGUGAAGAAGGCCUUCGGGUUGUAAAGCUCUUUCGGCGGGGAAGAAAUGGCAACGGCUAAUAUCCGUUGUUGAUGACGGUACCCGCAUAAGAAGCACCGGCUAACUACGUGCCAGCAGCCGCGGUAAUACGUAGGGUGCGAGCGUUAAUCGGAAUUACUGGGCGUAAAGCGUGCGCAGGCGGUUUCGUAAGACAGACGUGAAAUCCCCGGGCUCAACCUGGGAACUGCGUUUGUGACUGCGAGGCUAGAGUACGGCAGAGGGGGGUAGAAUUCCACGUGUAGCAGUGAAAUGCGUAGAGAUGUGGAGGAAUACCGAUGGCGAAGGCAGCCCCCCUGGGUUAGUACUGACG